rnacentral:rRNA from 1 species
AAUGAACGUUGGCGGCGUGGAUUAGGCAUGCAAGUCGAGCGAGAAGAGUUUGGUAGCUUGCUAUUGAACUCGGAAAGCGGCGAAAGGGAGAGUAACGCGUAGUUACGUGCCCAGGGGUUCGGAAUAGCCACGGGAAACUGUGGGUAAUGCCGAAUAACAUCUCCGGAUCAAAGGUGUGAUUCCGCCCCUGGAGCGGACUGCGUCCUACUAGCUAGUUGGCGGGGUAAUGGCCCACCAAGGCAACAAUGGGUAGCGGGUGUGAGAGCAUGACCCGUCUCACUGGGACUGAGACACUGCCCAGACACCUACGGGUGGCUGCAGUCGAGAAUCUUCGGCAAUGGGCGAAAGCCUGACCGAGCGACGCCGCGUGCGGGAUGAAGGCCCUCGGGUUGUAAACCGCUGUCGUAGGGGAGGAAGGCUCCGUGAAGAACGGGGUUUGACCUAUCCUAGGAGGAAGUACGGGCUAAGUUCGUGCCAGCCGCCGCGGUAAUAC